rnacentral:rRNA from 1 species
CAGCAGCCACGGUAAUACGAAGGGGGCUAGCGUUGCUCGGAAUGACUGGGCGUAAAGGGCGCGUAGGCGGAUUGUUUAGUUAGGCGUGAAAUUCCUGGGCUUAACCUGGGGACUGCGCUUAAUACAGGCAGUCUAGAGUGAGGAAGAGGGUUGUGGAAUUCCCAGUGUAGAGGUGAAAUUCGUAGAUAUUGGGAAGAACACCAGUGGCGAAGGCGGCUCACUGGCCCGGUACUGACGCUGAGGCGCGAAAGCGUGGGGAGCAAACAGGAUAGAUACCCCAGUAGUCCCUGUCUCUUAUACA